CUUUUGAAGAAAGGGUUUAAGUGGUUUCAUCUUCAAGGGUUUUGAUUUGAAGUUCUCAAACACUCUCAUUUUGAUAAUCACAGUCCAACGGAAGCAAGGCAACUGCUUCUUCAAUCUUCAAUCUUCUUCAAUCCUCAAUCUUCAACCUUUAAUCUUCAAUCUCCAUUCUUCAUGGCUGACGAAACAAAGGAAACACAGCCCGCAAAAAACGAAACUGAGACUAAGGAUUUGAGCUCCAAUCCCUCAACUUUGAAGCCAUGGGAGCAGCACGGAGGAGUCAUAAACUUACCUCGUUUCGACUAUAACGCUCCUUCUUCUCUUCUUCAAUACUCUCAUACUGGCUUCCUCAUCACCUGCACUAUCAAGAGGGAGAAAAGCGCAACGAAAGAAGCAAUGUCUAUCCUUGGGAAGUAUUUUACUGGUAGCAGUAAUAAAAAUUCCAAUAGCUCCGCGUCUGAUGAAGCUUCUAAUUCUAAGAAAAGGAAAACAUGUGCAGAGGAACUAGAUAAUGAACAUGUCAAUGAUGAGGAAAACAAAGAUGCGAUUAAUCUUUCCGAGGACAAAUCUGGUGGCUCUGUGUUAUCCACAAAGAAUGAUACAAUUGAAGAGAGCAAUCAUGUUCUUUCACUAGUUAAGCUGACAGGGAGCGGUUUGCUUCUAUUUACCUUCACCAAAGGCACUUCUUUUGAUCCUGUACAAAUUGUGUCUAAUAUUAUUGAGUCUCGGGAAUAUGCAAGCUCUAGUUCACCCGAGUGGUGCCGUCGCAUAUUUCCUAUCCAAGCUACUUGUAGUUUGAAUGAGAAGGAACUACAUACACUUGUAUCAAAGCUUGUUCUUGAUUUCGUGAGCGAUAAACAAAAGAAAUUGGCAAAGCCUUUAAAGUUUGCAGUUGGAUUCAACAGAAGAGGAACUGAAGAGGCAGAGAUGAAGGUUCCGAAAGAUACUUCAAAUAUCUCAACCGGGUCUAACUUGUUGGAUCGUAACAACUGCUUUUCAGUAGUGGCUGCUGCAGUUAAAGAAGUUGUGCCAGAUUCAGUAGUGGAUCUUCGGUCUCCAGAGCUUUCUGUACUUGUGGAACUACUUCCCCUCUCUAGGGUACCGAACGGAUCAUUAGUCGUUGCUGUAUCAGUUCUCCCACAAAAUCUAGUCAGCACAAAACCACGGCUGUGUAUAAAGGCUCUGGUUUCAAAUGUCAAACCAAAGGGUGCAAAGCAUUAAGCAUGAGAUUGUUGUGUUCAAUAGGCAUAGCCAUAGGACCCUGGUAAAUUAUCUCCCUUUCAAGUUGGAAUGGUCGGUGCUCGGUUAAUUUUUCGGCUAGAGCCAUGGAUAGAACAAUCAUAAAGGGAUAUAGAUUAGUUGUUCAUACUCAAUAAAUAAUUUGUUUGGUUAAAAAUUGUCUAUUUUUUUUUAAAAAAUGUAUAGUCUUUUAACCUGUACAACAUUAUUUAAUUUUUAAUGAUUUUGGU